UACGUAGGGCGCAAGCGUUAUCCGGAAUUAUUGGGCGUAAAGAGCUCGUAGGUGGUUUGUUACGUCCGCUGUGAAAUCCUAGGGCUUAACCCUGGGCUUGCAGUGGAUACGGGCAGACGUAGAGGUAGGUAGGGGAGAAUGGAAUUCCUGGUGUAGCGGUGAAAUGCGCAGAUAUCAGGAGGAACACCGGUGGCGAAGGCGGCAUCCUGGACCGGCAUUGACGCUGAGGCGCGAAAGCCAGGGGAGGCAAACGGG
rnacentral:rRNA from 1 species